GGGGAAUAUUGCACAAUGGGCGAAAGCCUGAUGCAGCGACGCCGCGUGAGGGACGAAGGCCUUCGGGUCGUAAACCUCUUUCGGCAGGGACGAAGCGCAAGUGACGGUACCUGCAGAAGAAGCGCCGGCCAACUACGUGCCAGCAGCCGCGGUAAGACGUAGGGCGCAAGCGUUGUCCGGAUUUAUUGGGCGUAAAGAGCUCGUAGGCGGCCUGUCGCGUCGACUGUGAAAACCCGCGGCUUAACCAUGGGACUGCAGUCGAUACGGGCAGGCUAGAGUGCGGUAGGGGAGACUGGAAUUCCUGGUGUAGCGGUGAAAUGCGCAGAUAUCAGGAGGAACACCGGUGGCGAAGGCGGGUCUCUGGGCCGACACUGACGCUGAGGAGCGAAAGCGUGGGGAGCGAAC
rnacentral:rRNA from 1 species